CUGGGCGUGCGGUGAAAGUCCCAGGCAGCCCUUUUUGUUUUCUUUCGUUCUGCUGCUGUUUGUGAGAGUAGCUUCCGGGAUCUUGGGCCUCGGGUGGUAGUCGAUGCCGUACCCUACGCCUUCAAUAAAGAAGGGCAGAGGGCUCCCUGGUAUAACGAAGCGGAAGAGGGGCGCACAUACGGCGGGUUUUUGGUGCUCGGGGGAGCAGAGGAAGAGGCUCUGAAACUGCGCUAAGAAUGGGCGGGAGUAGCAGAAGAGUUCUGAAAAUUAUUGGCUGGCAGGAGUGGUGGGCGGGGCGUAGGCCGAGCUGCCUCGUUUAUUGGUGGAAUUUGGACCCCUGGUUUUCUCGUUACUGCCACGUUGACGCUACUUAGAGCCCGGCGGUGUUAGCUCCGUUGUCUGUGCUCGUGUCCUCGGAAACCAACGGAUUGGAAGGACUUUUAAAAAUAUGGGAGGAAAGAGCCAAAAGCUGAAGAUAGCUCGCUGUAUCACCGAUCUUCUUAGCUCUACCAUGGCCAGAUUUUAGUUUGGACGAAUUUGAGGUUAUUGGGGGCAACAGCAGGUGGCACAAAUCAGGCUCGGUGGAAACGGGCAGAUACAGGUUGGCUCCAGUUGAAACGGCUUGAACGGCGUCCCUGCGACUCACCGUCUGCGCCAAUUACGAAAGCGAUGACGUCUGUGUGUUGUUAUGAGGUUCUCGAACUGAGUGGGUAGAAAUGCGAAGACCUAGAGUUCCCACCUUUCUUUUCUGUAAGGUGGGAAGUCCAAGAUCAAGGUUCUGGACAGUUAGCUUUCUGGUGAGGGCUCUAUUCCUGGCUUGCAGACGGCUGCCUUCUCACUGUGUCCUCAGAAUUACAUUUGUCCUACCUCAUCGACUGGACUAUAAGCAUCCCAGGUCAGGAUCUGUGUCUGAUUUAUCUUGUGUCUUCUACAGUGCCUGUUCUAAUGCUGUAUGUCAAAACAAGGGAAUAUGUUUUCUCUCUUUGUAUUGGACUAUACAGAAGUUUAUGUUUCUUUUUCACAGUUACCACAUUGCCAUAAUUAUUUGUUCUCAUGUGUGCUCCCCAUACUCAAUUUUGAGCGUCUGAAGGGUAGGGACCAUGUUCUAGUCAUCUUUGUACUCCCACAUCUAUUACGGGGCUGGGCAUAUAAUGGGUAUUUGUUAACAUUUAUUUAUCUACCCAACAUGAUACCCGAAAUGUGGUCAAUGCUGAAUAA